rnacentral:rRNA from 1 species
AGAGUUUGAUCAUGGCUCAGAACGUACGCUGGCGGCACGCCUAACACAUGCAAGUCGAACGAAGUAGCAAUACUUAGUGGCAGACGGGUGAGUAACAUGUAGGUAUCUGCCCUUUGGCCUGGAAUAACACGAGGAAACUUGUGCUAAUACCGGAUAAGUCUUUACGGAGAAAGCUUUAUGCACCAUUGGAUGAGCCUGCACUUGAUUAGUUUGUUGGUGGGGUAAUGGCCUACCAAGACUGUGAUCAAUAGCUGAUUUGAGAGGAUGAUCAGCCACAUUGGGACUGAGACACGGCCCAAACUCCUACGGGAGGCAGCAGUGGGGAAUCUUGCACAAUGGAGGAAACUCUGAUGCAGCGAUGCCGCGUGAGUGAAGAAGGCCCUUGGGUUGUAAAGCUCUUUCGUCGGGGAAGAAAAUGACUGUACCCGAAUAAGAAGGUCCGGCUAACUUCGUGCCAGCAGCCGCGGUAAUACGAAGGGACCUAGCGUAGUUCGGAAUUACUGGGCUUAAAGAGUUCGUAGGUGGUUGAAAAAGUUAGUGGUGAAAUCCCAGAGCUUAACUCUGGAACUGCCAUUAAAACUUUUCAGCUAGAGUAUGAUAGAGGAAAGCAGAAUUUCUAGUGUAGAGGUGAAAUUCGUAGAUAUUAGAAAGAAUACCAAUUGCGAAGGCAGCUUUCUGGAUCAUUACUGACACUGAGGAACGAAAGCAUGGGUAGCGAAGAGGAUUAGAUACCCUCGUAGUCCAUGCCGUAAACGAUGUGUGUUAGACGUUGGAAAUUUAUUUUCAGUGUCGCAGGGAAACCGAUAAACACACCGCCUGGGGAGUACGACCGCAAGGUUAAAACUCAAAUGAAUUGACGGGGACCCGCACAAGUAGUGGAGCAUGUGGUUUAAUUCGAAGAUACGCGCAGAACCUUACCAACACUUGACAUGUUCGUCGCGACUCUAAGAGAUUAGAGUUUUCGGUUCGGCCGGACGAAACACAGGUGCUGCAUGGCUGUCGUCAGCUCGUGUCGUGAGAUGUUGGGUUAAGUCCCGCAACGAGCGCAACCCUCACUUUUAGUUGCCAUCAUUAAGUUGGGCACUCUGAAAGAACUGCCAGUGAUAAGCUGGAGGAAGGUGGGGAUGACGUCAAGUCCUCAUGGCCCUUACGUGUUGGGCUACACAUGUGCUACAAUGGUAUCUACAACAGGAAGCAAGACUGCGAAGUUAAGCAAAUCCCUAAAAGAUACCUCAGUUCGGAUUGCACUCUGCAACUCGAGUGCAUGAAGCUGGAAUUACUAGUAAUCGUGGAUCAGCGUGCCACGGUGAAUGCGUUCCCGGGUCUUGUACACACCGCCCGUCACACCAUGGGAGUUGGUUCUACCUUAAGGCAGGGUUUCAAACCCUUGACCACGGUAUAGUCAGCGACUGGGGUGAAGUCGUAACAAGGUA